rnacentral:rRNA from 1 species
CCUACGGGCGGCAGCAGUGGGGGAUAUUGCACAAUGGGGGGAACCCUGAUGCAGCGACGCCGCGUGGGUGAAGGAGCUUUUCGGCGCGUAAAGCCCUAUCUGCAGGGCAGAAGAUGACGGUACCUUACCAAGAAGCCCCGGCUAACUACGUUCCAGCAGCCGCGGUCAUACGUAGGGGGCAAGCGUUAUCCGGAUUUACUGGUUGUAAAGGGGGCUCAGACGGCAAUGCAGGCCAGGAGUGAAAUCCCGGGGCCCAAACCCGGGAAUGCUCUUGGAACUGCAUGGCUGGAGUACAGGAGGGGCAGGCGGAAUUCCUAGUGUAGCGGUGAAAUGCGUAGAUAUUAGGAGGAACACCGGUGGCGAAGGCGGCCUGCUGGACUGUGACUGACGUUGAGGCCCGAAGGCGUGGGGAGCAAACAGGAUUAGAUACCCGAGUAGUC